rnacentral:rRNA from 1 species
AUUGCUGGCGACCGGCGCACGGGUGAGUAACACGUAUCCAACCUGCCGAUAACUCGGGGAUAGCCUUUCGAAAGAAAGAUUAAUACCCGAUGGUAUAAUCAGACCGCAUGGUCUUGUUAUUAAAGAAUUUCGGUUAUCGAUGGGGAUGCGUUCCAUUAGGCAGUUGGUAAGGUAACGGCUCACCAAACCUUCGAUGGAUAGGGGUUCUGAGAGGAAGGUCCCCCACAUUGGAACUGAGACACGGUCCAA